AGCUAGUCCCACACCCCACGGCGAGGGCCGCAAAGGCGGUGGGGACUUCUGGCUGCCCCGAGGCUGCUUCAGCCGCUUCUGCUUCCGCGGCUGGCCAAGGCCGCAGGUGCGGAUUUUCCCAUGUUAGACGCGAUGGAUCGGCGGGAGAAGCCCAGCUGCCUAGCCCGGGUCUAGUGUGUCUGAUCCAGCGCUGUUUUUGCUGCUACUACCCGGGGGAGGGGAGAGGCAGGCGAAUGGGAACCGCGGUCAGUCCUCGGAGCCCCAAAACAGCUAAUGACCCUCGCUACGCCGGCACUUUCGGAAAGCAACAGGAACUCAUCACCCGCUCGGCCCUGCCAGCGAAGGAAGACGGACUUGCUGGACUGCACAAAGCCAGAACCAGAAAUCCCAUUAAAGCCUCAAGGCAUCAAUCUCUUUCAGCUCCAAGUGCAGGAAAAGUAUGAGAAACUGUCUCUGGAAAGCUAAGGCAGGAUGAAAAAGAAACUGCCCCUAAUGGAGACUGAGAACCUGCCCCUUUGGGAUUCCCAGGCUUUCUAAUCUGCCAAUAUUGGGAUUAAAGCCUUGUAAUAUAUGGAGUGUGAAACCUCGGCUAGGCAUGAACUCAUCCCAUUUUCAUUAAGGUCUCUUUUGAGGUGGCAUCGAGGACCAGCUGCCAGGAUGAACAAACACCA